rnacentral:lncRNA from 1 species
GGAGUCUCGCUCUGUUACCCAGGCUGGAGUGCAGUGGCACGAUCUCGGCUCACUGCAAGCUCCACCUCCCGGGUUCAUGCCAUUCUCCUGCCUCAGCCUCCCGAGUAGCUGGGACUACAGGCGCCCACUGCCACACCCAGCGAAUUUUUAGUAGAGAUGGGGUUUCACCGUGUUAGCCAGGAUGGUCUCGAUCUCAAGAAUCUAUAAUUUCAGUGAGACAAUAAAACUGUAUAAAAUUAGAAUAGAGUUUGAGGUUUAGGAAACAUGACACUCUGGAUGCAUUAAAAAAAUCAAAUAAUGGUAGCAACAACAAUCUGGAAUUCUUUAACCUUAACAGGGUCUAGAUAAGAAUUUCAGGCCAGGUAUGGUGGCUCACGCCUGUAAUCCCAGCACUUUGGGAGGCCGAGGUGGGCGGAUCACCAGAGGUCAGGAGUUCAAGACCAGCCUGGCCAACAUGGUGAAACCCUGUCUCUAUUAAACAUACAAAAAUUAGCUGGGCACAGUGGCAGGAACCUGUUAUUCUAGCUACUUGGGAGGCUGAAGCAAGAGAACUGCUUGAACCUGGGAGGUGGAGGUUGCAGUGAGCCGAGAUCAGGCCAUUGCACUCCAGCCUGGGCGACAAGAGUGAAAUUCUGUCUCAAAAAGAAUUUCAGAGUCAAGAUUUAUUGUUUAAUGAGCUAGCAUCACAAUCAACUAGGCUGCUUCAAAUAAUGUAUUAACUUAUAAAUUAAAUUUCUGAAUGUUGCAGACACUAUCAAAGAUCAAAAUAACUGUUUUCAGCAUCUUGAAAACUUCUCAUUAAAAUACGCUAAAAUAAAUAAAACAUGCUAAAAACAGAAGCCUAGCAUAUCACACUAGAUCAGUUUACAUCUGAACUAUAAACAGAUAUUCUGAAGAAUGACCAGUAAUACAUAUUUAUAUUAUACCUUAUUUUAAAAAUAGCACUUUGGGUGUUUUUUGAAAGAGAGGGUCUCACUGUGUCACCCAGGCUAGAAUGCAGGAGCACAAUCACAGGUCACCGCAGCCUCAACUUCCCAGGCUGAAGUGAUCCUCCUGCCUCAGCCUCCUGAGUAGCCGCGGUGCUGCGACAUGUGGCUAAUUAAAAAAAAAAAUUUUUUUUUUCUCUGUAGAGAUGGGUGUUAUGUUGCCCAGGCUGGUCUCGACUCCUCACCUCAAGUGAUCUUCCUGCCUUGGCCUCCCAAACUGUUGGAAUUACAAGCAUGAACUAGUGCACCAGGCCUAAAAACAGCAUUUUAAAUAAAAUACUAUUUAAAUACCAGUUUGUUAGGUUUAGUCAAAUGUAUUCUAUAAUUACAAUCAAAAACUGUGAUAAAAUGCAUACUUUAAAAAAUAAUCAACACAACAAGUCGUGUUAUGUAAAAAAGCUCAUAACACAGGCCAGGUGUGGUGGCUCACGCCUGUAAUCCCAGCACUUUGGGAGGCCAAGGUGGGUGGAUCACAAGAUCAAGAGAUCGAGACCAUCCUGGCCAACAUGGUGAAACCCCAUCUCUACUAAAAAUACAAAAAAUUGGCCGGGUG